GGAAGAGCAUCGUCCCCGGUGGGGCGUCCGGACUUCAAAUCCGGGUGAGGCAGGCAAGACUGUCUCGGGUGGGUUCGACUCCCAUUCUCUUCCGCCA
rnacentral:tRNA from 1 species